UACGUAGGGUGCAAGCGUUGUCCGGAAUUAUUGGGCGUAAAGAGCUCGUAGGCGGUUUGUCGCGUCGAAUGUGAAAACCCGAGGCUCAACCUCGGGCCUGCAGUGGGUACGGGCAGACUAGAGUGCGGUAGGGGAGAUUGGAAUUCCUGGUGUAGCGGUGGAAUGCGCAGAUAUCAGGAGGAACACCGGUGGCGAAGGCGGGUCUCUGGGCCGAUACUGACGCUGAGGAGCGAAAGCAUGGGUAGCGAACAGG
rnacentral:rRNA from 1 species